GACAGAGGGUGCAAACGUUGUUCGGAAUUACUGGGCGUAAAGCGCACGUAGGCGGAUAUUUAAGUCAGGGGUGAAAUCCCGGGGCUCAACCCCGGAACUGCCUUUGAUACUGGGUAUCUUGAGUGUGGUAGAGGUGAGUGGAAUUGCGAGUGUAGAGGUGAAAUUCGUAGAUAUUCGCAGGAACACCAGUGGCGAAGGCGGCUCACUGGACCACAACUGACGCUGAGGUGCGAAAGCGUGGGGAGCAAACAGG
rnacentral:rRNA from 1 species